rnacentral:rRNA from 1 species
UACGAAGGGGGCUAGCGUUGUUCGGAAUCACUGGGCGUAAAGCGCGCGCAGGCGGCUUCUCAAGUCAGGGGUGAAAGCCCAGAGCUCAACUCUGGAACUGCCUUUGAGACUGAGAGGCUUGAGUACGGGAGAGGUGAGUGGAAUUCCCAGUGUAGAGGUGAAAUUCGUAGAUAUUGGGAAGAACACCGGUGGCGAAGGCGGCUCGCUGGCUCGUAACUGACGCUCAUGCACGACAGCGUGGGGAUCAAACAGG